rnacentral:piRNA from 1 species
UGUAAUUGAACCCCAAGGGCUCUCGUGUCUG